UCCAGUGUGGUGCAGUGGUUUGAGUAUUGGAGUAUGAAUCUGGAGACCAGGGUUCAAUUCCCAGCUCAGGAA